GAAUUAAACUCCAAGUUUUGAAGGAUAUGUAAGAAAUGUUUGAAAAUGAGUAAGUUUCCCCAAACAUUUCUUACAAAUCCUUCAAAACUUAGAAUUUAUCAA